ACAGCUCACAGAAAUGUAUAAACAAGCCAGAGAAGCGGCCAGCAUGAAAAAUUGCGAUGGAGGCAGGAAGACUUUUCAGGUAUCAGUCUUGAAUCCUGCUGGCAAACCGAGGUGGAGGCCUUGAUGUGGAAGAGAAAUAAAUGAUUCUUCUGCAACAACGGUUUCUAGCCUCUGGCAAGGAAAACAGAUGAGCAAAUAUCUGUCUUGGAAGCUAAAUGCAUCGUCCCAGCGCAGGCCUCUCCAGCUUUCCAGAUACCAUGAGUCCUCAGCCUGCUCUUAAAUUGCUACAACAACAUUAUGGAUCCUUCAUACUCAGAUUUUUGCGAGCAUCUACUCUGACAUCCUUCAUAACAUGUAACAGUAAAUAAAUCACUGGAACUUAUUGAACAAUGAAUGUGCUGGAACUGGUAUUGUAUGCUCUAGAAAAUCCCACAAAUACACAACUUCUCAUUAAACUUCUCAUUAAGAAAGUUUCUAUUAUAAUCACAGUUGACACAGAACUGAACCAAAAAAUAGAAAUUCCAGAUUAAACAGAAAUUCCAGAGAUCUAAAAAGAAAAAAUAUUACCCGGUUAAUUAUGUAUGUCUUAAGUGAUUUGUACUGGUCUGAAUGGUUCAGAUAUUCUGGUAUUUCUUCACCGUGCCUUUAUGAAUUUACUCUUGUUAAAGUCUUUUUUUCUAACAAAGAACUUAGAAUUUCAUGUUAAGCAUCAUGCCAAGUGUAAAACUGAUAUACAAACUGACAAACUGCACACCAAUAAUUUAAAUCUACCUGAAGAAAGGUAGAUUGAUAAAAAAAAGAUAAUUUUUUUGAAAGAUAAAAAUUGUUAAGGUGGAAUGGGGCCUACAGACUUCAAUGGUUGACAAAUGCCCUAGUUCCAGUAUAGAUAGCAGGUUACUUAAUUAUGUAAAUCAGCAGGAGAUUGACCCUGCAGUGAAUUUUUAAUAAUAUACUAAUUGUCUGAUAAAGAAAACAAAUAAGACAUUAGUGGUAAAUCUUCAUCUCAGCAUGCAGAAAUUUACAUGCCCAAAUCUUGUUACUAAUGAGAAUUGUACAUAAAUCUUGCGGAGCUAGGAGAAAGAUUUAAGUGGAUUUUUCUUCUCUACUUUUUCCUAUCUAGGAGAAGAGUUGAAAUUGAGCUUAAGUCUGUCUUGGCUCUUCUAUUUUGAUUUUGAGAGUGAGUCAUAGCUGUUCUUGAAUAUUAUCUGUAGUAGUCUCCUACAGUAUGUAAAUUGGUUGUAGGUCAAAAAAGUCAAGACCUUUCAAACAUGCCAUGAAAAAAAAAAAUCUGCUUCUCAAAGGAGAAAUUCUAUGAAACCCAU
rnacentral:lncRNA from 7 species